UAAAUAAAUAAAUAAAUAGGCCUCUCUGC
rnacentral:piRNA from 1 species